rnacentral:rRNA from 1 species
GACGAACGCUGGCGGCGUGCUUAACACAUGCAAGUCGAACGGUAAGGCCCUUCGGGGUACACGAGUGGCGAACGGGUGAGUAACACGUGGGUGAUCUGCCCUGCACUUCGGGAUAAGCCUGGGAAACUGGGUCUAAUACCGGAUAGGACCACUGCCUGCAUGGGUGGUGGUGGAAAGCUUUUGCGGUGUGGGAUGGGCCCGCGGCCUAUCAGCUUGUUGGUGGGGUGAUGGCCUACCAAGGCGACGACGGGUAGCCGGCCUGGGAGGGUGACCGGCCACACUGGGACUGGGAUACGGCCCAGACUCCUACGGGGGGCAGCAGUGGGGAAUAUUGCACAAUGGGCGCAAGCCUGAUGCAGCGACGCCGCGUGAGGGAUGACGGCCUUCGGGUUGUAAACCUCUUUCAGCACCGACGAAGCGCACGUGACGGUAGGUGCAGAAGAAGGACCGGCCAACUACGUGCCAGCCGCCGCAGUAA